GACGAACGCUGGCGGCGUGCCUAAUACAUCCAAGUAGAACGCACAGUUUAUACCGUAGCUUGCUACACCAUAGACUGUGAGUUGCGAACGGGUGAGUAACGCGUAGGUAACCUGCCUGGUAGCGGGGGAUAACUAUUGGAAACGAUAGCUAAUACCGCAUAAUAUUGAUUAUUGCAUGAUAAUUAAUUGAAAGGUGCAAUUGCACCACUACCAGAUGGACCUGCGUUGUAUUAGCUAGUAGGUGAGGUAACGGCUCACCUAGGCGACGAUACAUAGCCGACCUGAGAGGGUGAUCGGCCACACUGGGACUGAGACACGGCCCAGACUCCUACGGGAGGCAGCAGUAGGGAAUCUUCGGCAAUGGACGAAAGUCUGACCGAGCAACGCCGCGUGAGUGAAGAAGGUUUUCGGAUCGUAAAGCUCUGUUGUAAGAGAAGAACGGGUGUGAGAGUGGAAAGUUCACACUGUGACGGUAUCUUACCAGAAAGGGACGGCUAACUACGUG
rnacentral:rRNA from 1 species